AUUGAACGCUGGCGGCAGGCCUAACACAUGCAAGUCGAACGAGUGGCGGACGGGUGAGUAAUGUCUGGGAAACUGCCUGAUGGAGGGGGAUAACUACUGGAAACGGUAGCUAAUACCGCAUACCAUCAGAUGUGCCCAGAUGGGAUUAGCUUGUUGGUGGGGUAACGGCUCACCAAGGCGACGAUCCCUAGCUGGUCUGAGAGGAUGACCAGCCAAACUGGAACUGGGACAGGGUCCAGCCCCCUAGGGGGGGCGGCAUGGGGAAAUAUUGACCAAGGGGGGAAAGCCUGAUGAGGCCAUGCCGGGUGUAGGAAGAAGGCCUUCGGGUGGUAAAGAACUUUCGGCGGGAGGGGGUUACCCGAAGAAGAAGCACCGGCUAACUCCGUGCCAGCAGCCGCGGUAAUU
rnacentral:rRNA from 1 species